rnacentral:rRNA from 1 species
ACGGGUGAGUAACACGUGGGUAACCUGCCUGUAAGACUGGGAUAACUCCGGGAAACCGGAGCUAAUACCGGAUAGUUCCUUGAACCGCAUGGUUCAAGGAUGAAAGACGGUUUCGGCUGUCACUUACAGAUGGACCCGCGGCGCAGUAGCUAGUUGGUGGGGUAAUGGCUCACCAAGGCGACGAUGCGUAUCCCACCUGAGAGGGUGAUCGGCCACACUGGGACUGAGACACGGCCCAAACUCCUACGGGAGGCAGCAGUAGGGAAUCUUCCGCAAUGGACGAAAGUCUGACAGAGCAACGCCGCGUGAGUGAUGAAGGUUUUCGGAUCGUAAAGCUCUGUUGUUAGGGAAGAACAAGUGCGAGAGUAACUGUCCGCCCCCUUUACGGUACCUAACCAGAAAGCCACGGCUAACUACGUGCCAGCAGCCGCGGUAAUACGUAGGUGGCAAGCGUUGUCCGGAAUUAUUGGGCGUAAAGGGCUCGCAGGCGGUUUCUUAAGUCUGAUGUGAAAGCCCCCGGCUCAACCGGGGAGGGUCAUUGGAAACUGGGAAACUUGAGUGCAGAAGAGGAGAGUGGAAUUC